GGUUAAGGCGAAAGAUUAGAAAUCUUUUGGGCUUUGCCCGCGCAGGUUCGAGUCCUGCAGUUGUCG
rnacentral:tRNA from 1 species